rnacentral:rRNA from 1 species
AGUGAACGCUGGCGGUAGGCCUAACACAUGCAAGUCGAACGGCAGCACAGUAAGAGCUUGCUCUUACGGGUGGCGAGUGGCGGACGGGUGAGGAAUACAUCGGAAUCUACUUUUUCGUGGGGGAUAACGUAGGGAAACUUACGCCAAUACCGCAUACGACCUACGGGUGAAAGCAUGGGAUCUUCGGACCUUGCGCGAGUGUAUGAGCCUAUGUCGGAUUAGCUAGUUGGCGGGGUAAAGGCCCACCAAGGCGACGAUCCGUAGCUGGUCUGAGAGGAUGAUCAGCCACACUGGAACUGAGACACGGUCCAGACUCCUACGGGAGGCAGCAGUGGGGAAUAUUGGACAAUGGGCGAAAGCCUGAUCCAGCCAUACCGCGUGGGUGAAGAAGGCCUUCGGGUUGUAAAGCCCUUUUGUUGGGGAGGAAAAGCAGUAGGUUAAUACCCCGCUGUUCUGACGGUACCCAAAGAAUAAGCACCGGCUAACUUCGUG